ACCUUGAUUCACUACCAUCUCUCUUGGCUUCAUCUUUUCCAACACACAUUUGAUCUUUUUUAAGGUUUUGAGGGGGUUUAUGGGAGCUCCUUUACGCUCCAGUUCUGAAAGGAGAUGAUGGUAUCCACAGCUGCUGGUUCAUGAGUACCUAUGGCUGCACAAUAUAUAUAGCAAUGUUGUGUGCAAACUAUGGGUGUGCAUGACCUCGGAGAAGUGGUUGCCUUGAUCUUUCUGGCCUUGGAGUGAAGGGAGCUCUCAUAACCCUUCUAAUGUUCUUGAUUUUUUUUUUUUUUUUUGUUAGCUUCUUUCAAUGAUUUGAACAUGGUUGGAUGGGUGUUUGGAUGAUAAUAAUGUUGCUUAUCCUAAUAAUAUGGCCUCUAGAAACAUGUUCAUGUAAUGUUGUAGUGUCCGGAAAAAGAUUUAGCUUUCUGCACUGAUUAAUAUCAAUUAGUUUUCAAAUAAGAUGAUCAAAACCGAAACAAAGAAAUAUUGUGAGGAUGAAGAAUAAUGGGUUUGAUUAGAUAAAGUAGUGCAGGCCACGCAACUACAGUUUGAGUCAUGGUCGAUGUGGUUUUCUAGCCAGCCAAACAGAGACUAGGCCAUGCACAAGGGCGUUGCAGUACACAGUCCUGAUGAUGCUGCGCGCAGAGGAGAAAAAAUUCUAGCCUUUUAUCGUAAGGUCUGUGGACUGUAGACACCAGGGACCCAAGAUUGUAAUUCAUCUAAAUUAAUUAAAAUGAUAAGGUUUAAAUUUGUAUAGUC